UUUUGGAAGCACAGGAAACACAUGGGGUUUAACUACAGAAAGGAAAGUGCCUCCAAAUCUCCUUCCAUGGGGAGUGUGCCCGUGGGGACCAGCCUUUCCACAUGGGCGGUGGAGAGCAAGGCCCCGGGGCACAGGGCCGUGUUCCCCGCAGUGGAGCUGGGAGCCAGGGCGUGAGCCGGGCUUGCCCACCAAGCUGUCUGCAGCACGCCCUCGCAGUGGGAGCUGGUGAUGGGGUCUUGCCUGGGCUCCCGUGAGAAGCAGAGAAGACCCUUCCUUGGAGGGUGCUGGAAGUAGUGUGUGGUGGCUGUGCUGCCUUUCCCUCCUGAAAAGCCUACGGGGUGCCAGCUAACCCUUUACCUCGGAAGAGAUAUCUCCACGUGCCCCACCCGUCUGGACUCCUAGAAAUGUCACCGAGGAGGGAGGCCCCUGAAUUACUGUUGGACUUAUUUCCCGCCUCUGUCAUGCAGAUAUCCUACCAAGCACAGUUUCCUGGAUGAGAGGCCACAGAAGGUGAAGACCGGGGAAAGAUUACAGUUCAGUGAUGCUCCAGGACCUUCCUUGAGGGAACCCUGUCUCUCCCACUUCAAGGUGUUCUGUGUCUAUAACUGGCUCAGGUCUGAGAAUUGAUGGAGGGGCCAGGACUCUGCUUUUUAUGAUUAAUGUCAGACUUUCCCACAUUUGACCCAGAACUUCUCUGCUUAAGUAGAUCAAGUGAGAAUUCGUUGGGCUUCCUGUGUGUUUGACAUCUAGCCUUGCCAUGACCAACCAGCCAACACCACAGGUCUCUGUGUGUCCUUGUGACUGCUGCUUCCACUCUGCUGUCCACCCGGGGAACCACGCCCACCUUGCCUUUGGCAGGUGAGUGUCCCUGCCACCCCAGGAUCCAAGUACUCUGUCAUAUUCAGGUUCCUUGAGCUGGUGUGGUCCCCUCUGGAGGCUCUGACCUGCAUGGAGGGACCACAGAGUUCUUCAGGGUGCUAGGGUCACCUCACACAUUCACUUCUUACAGCCUUGGGGGAAGCUGCGUCUUCUGGAAGCUCCAUGUAGGUGAACUGGUCUUAAAUGACUGAGUCCCUCCAACAUCCCUAACCCUUUGGGUCCCUUUCUCUACAUUGGACCAGGGCAGCUCAGGCAUUUCUAACCCAC